rnacentral:rRNA from 1 species
UACGUAGGUGGCGAGCGUUGUCCGGAAUUACUGGGCGUAAAGCGCGUGUAGGCGGCAGGCCAAGUCGGUGGUGAAAGCGCCCGGCUCAACUGGGCGAGGUCCAUGGAAACUGGUCAGCUGGAGGACGGUAGAGGCGAGUGGAAUUCCCGGUGUAGUGGUGAAAUGCGUAGAGAUCGGGAGGAACACCUGUGGCGAAGGCGGCUCGCUGGGCCGGUCCUGACGCUGAAACGCGAAGGCGUGGGGAGCGAACAGG